rnacentral:rRNA from 1 species
AAGUCGAGGGGCAGCGGGGGCGAAGCUUGCUUCGCCUGCCGGCGACCGGCGCACGGGUGAGUAACACGUAUGCGACCUGCCCCCCGCAGGGGGAUAACCGGGAGAAAUCCCGACUAAUACCGCGUAACGCCGCGGGGCUGCAUGGCCCGGCGGCCAAAGGAAGCGAUUCCGGCGGGGGAUGGGCAUGCGGCGCAUUAGCUAGUCGGCGGGGUAACGGCCCACCGAGGCGACGAUGCGUAGGGGUUCUGAGAGGAAGGUCCCCCACACUGGUACUGAGACACGGACCAGACUCCUACGGGAGGCAGCAGUGAGGAAUAUUGGUCAAUGGGCGGGAGCCUGAACCAGCCAAGUCGCGUGAGGGAAGACGGUCCUACGGAUCGUAAACCUCUUUUGCCGGGGAGCAACGGGGUCCUUGCGAGGGCCCGAUGAGAGUACCCGGAGAAAAAGCAUCGGCUAACUCCGUGCCAGCAGCCGCGGUAAUACGGAGGAUGCGAGCGUUAUCCGGAUUUAUUGGGUUUAAAGGGUGCGUAGGCGGGCUGUUAAGUCAGCGGUCAAAUGUCGGGGCUCAACCCCGGCCUGCCGUUGAAACUGGCGGCCUCGAGUGGGCGAGAAGUAUGCGGAAUGCGUGGUGUAGCGGUGAAAUGCAUAGGAUUUCACGCAGAACUCGGAUUGGGAAGGCAGCAUACCGGCGCCCGACUGACGCUGAGGCACGAAAGCGUGGGUAUCGAACAGGAUUAGAUACCCUGGUAGUCCACGCAGUAAACGAUGAAUGCUAGCUGUCCGGUUCUACGGGACUGGGUGGCACAGCGAAAGCGUUAAGCAUUCCACCUGGGGAGUACGCCGGCAACGGUGAAACUCAAAGGAAUUGACGGGGGCCCGCACAAGCGGAGGAACAUGUGGUUUAAUUCGAUGAUACGCGAGGAACCUUACCCGGGCUCAAACGCCAAAGGACAGCCGUUGAAAGGCGGCCUCCCUCCGGGGCCUUUGGCGAGGUGCUGCAUGGUUGUCGUCAGCUCGUGCCGUGAGGUGUCGGCUUAAGUGCCAUAACGAGCGCAACCCCCAUCGACAGUUGCUAACGGGUAGAGCCGAGGACUCUGUCGAGACUGCCGGCGCAAGCCGCGAGGAAGGCGGGGAUGACGUCAAAUCAGCACGGCCCUUACGUCCGGGGCGACACACGUGUUACAAUGGCCGGUACAGCGGGAUGCCAGGGCGCGAGCCCGAGCGGAACCCGAAAACCGGUCUCAGUUCGGAUUGGAGUCUGCAACCCGACUCCAUGAAGCUGGAUUCGCUAGUAA